ensembl:lncRNA LINC00388 long intergenic non-protein coding RNA 388
UUUUUUUUCUCCACGGCCUGAGGACGUGAUAGGAUUUCAUUCCCGCCCCACCUUGUUGGUUGGAUGGAAUCAUGCGCCCAAUUGUGGUCAAGACCAAGAAACUGAGAAACGAAGCAAAUCCGUGGGAUGCAGAGGGUACGCUGAUGACUUCUGCUGGGGAGAGAAGCCCAAACACACGUCCUGGGCAGAGCCCAGAGACCGGGAGUGUGGCUGCCAGUGAGCACCCGGCUGAGGGACAAGCAGGUGGGCCUCAGUGGUGGCUGCCAGGUCCCUGGACGCCGGGGGCCACCGGCCUUGCCUCUCCUCUGCCUCGGAAGCACCGGAGGCUUUGGGGAUCUGGUGGUCCUCUGGCCCUGAACGUGGACCUGGUGUGACAAAGGGAAGUUUGCCAUCUCCAUCCUCCUCAAGCUGCCUGUGCACCCCAGUAGCACCCACCCUCUCUGUGCUCCCGUCUGCACCGCAUGUCCUGGGGUCCUUCUUUGUACUGCACCCAAUGACAGGAACCAGUGCCCUGACUGUGACUUGCUUCCCCCCUCAGGGACACACAAGCACUUUCACAUCGAGGCUACUUUUCACCCCUUCUGCCUCCUGCAGGGACGCUGCAUGCAGAGGCAGGAGGACAGAGGGGCUGGUCUCAGGUGUGGCUUCUCUCACACCUGGCGC